CAGUGACUGACUGCUGGUGAUAAAGAGGAAAAUUAAGGGAGAAAAGAGUCUGAAGGGAGCCAAUAGUGAACUUGUAUUUUCUUGCAGGAGCAGAAGGAAAGCCAAAAUGACUCCAGUGACAGCUCAAAUAUCCCCCCAAAUGACUAGUGAAUUGUUGGAGCUUUAACUCUCUAAACAAGCCUGGCUCCAUUGAUCUCAAUGGCACGAUGCUGAUUGACACCUACUGAGGAUCCAUG